GACGAAUGCUGGCGGCGUGCUUAACACAUGCAAGUCGAGCGGUAAGGCCCUUUCGGGGGUACACGAGCGGCGAACGGGUGAGUAACACGUGGGUGACCUGCCCUCAGCUCUGGGAUAAGCCCGGGAAACUGGGUCUAAUACCGGAUAUGACUCCAUGACGCAUGUUGUGGGGUGGAAAGCCUUGUGCGGCUGAGGAUGGGCCCGCGGCCUAUCAGCUUGUUGGUGGGGUGAUGGCCUACCAAGGCGACGACGGGUAGCCGGCCUGAGAGGGCGACCGGCCACACUGGGACUGAGACACGGCCCAGACUCCUACGGGAGGCAGCAGUGGGGAAUCUUGCGCAAUGGGCGAAAGCCUGACGCAGCGACGCCGCGUGAGGGAUGACGGCCU
rnacentral:rRNA from 1 species